AGUGAGCGCUGGCGGUAGGCCUAACACAUGCAAGUCGAACGGCAGCACAGUAAGAGCUUGCUCUUACGGGUGGCGAGUGGCGGACGAGUGAGGAAUACAUCGGAAUCUACUUUUUCGUGGGGGAUAACGUAGGGAAACUUACGCUAAUACCGCAUACGACCUACGGGUGAAAGCAGGGGAUCUUCGGACCUUGCGCGAUUGAAUGAGCCGAUGUCGGAUUAGCUAGUUGGCGGGGUAAAGGCCCACCAAGGCGACGAUCCGUAGCUGGUCUGAGAGGAUGAUCAGCCACACUGGAACUGAGACACGGUCCAGACUCCUACGGGAGGCAGCAGUGGGGAAUAUUGGACAAUGGGCGCAAGCCUGAUCCAGCCAUACCGCGUGGGUGAAGAAGGCCUUCGGGUUGUAAAGCCCUUUUGUUGGGAAAGAAAAGCAGCAGGUUAAUACCCCGCUGUUCUGACGGUACCCAAAGAAUAAGCACCGGCUAACUUCGUG
rnacentral:rRNA from 1 species